AACCCACUCGAGUCUCCUUCCACGGUGUGGAACCUUUGUUCUUUUGCUGUUUGCAGUGAGUCUUGCUACUGCUCACUCUUUGGGUCCAUGCUGCUUUUAUGAGCUGUAACACUCACCACGAAGGUCUGCAGCUUCACUCAUGAGCCAGCAAGACCACGAGCCCACAGGGAGGACCGAACAACUCCAGACGCGCCUCCUUAAGAGCUGUUAACACUCACCGCCAAGGUCUGCAGCUUCACUCCUGAGCCAGCGAGACCACGAACCCAUCAGAAGGAAGAAACUCUGAACACAUCUGAACAUCAGAAGGGACAAACUCCAGAGGCGCCACCUUAAGAGCUGUAACACUCACCGCGAGGGUCUGCGGCUUCAUUCUUGAAGUCAGUGAGACCGAGAACCCACCAAUUCCGGACACAAUAGUAUAAAGCCCC
rnacentral:lncRNA from 1 species